rnacentral:lncRNA from 1 species
UUUGCUGUCUGCCUUUUCACUGCUACACCUGCCUGGCAUAAUUAUUACUUUGGUGCUCUGCGAUCGUAGACUAGAAUUUUCUUUUCUGCAGCUUUAUCACUAUAUGUUUCUUUGUGUUGGUGAAAUUAGUCAGAUCUGACCGAAUUGCUAUCAGUGUAUUUACAUGUCUGUUCUCCUUUGCAAUCCGUGUGUUUCUGUACUCGAAGCAUACUUGUACCCCCUGAGAUUGCUUGUACUGAUCCUCCCCGUGAUGAGAGUCUUACAUAUUAGCUUAAGCAUAAUGAGAACAAGAUUUUUCUGGGUAUUUUUGAG